rnacentral:rRNA from 1 species
CUUCAUGGCUGUCGUCAGCUCGUGUUGUGAAAUGUUGGCUUAAGUCCCGCAACGAGCGCAACCCUUAUCCUUUGUUGCCAGCGGUCCGGCCGGGAACUCAAAGGAGACUGCCAGUGAUAAACUGGAGGAAGGUGGGGAUGACGUCAAGUCAUCAUGGCCCUUACGACCAGGGCUACACACGUGCUACAAUGGCGCAUACAAAGAGAAGCGACCUCGCGAGAGCAAGCGGACCUCAUAAAGUGCGUCGUAGUCCGGAUUGGAGUCUGCAACUCGACUCCAUGAAGUCGGAAUCGCUAGUAAUCGUGGAUCAGAAUGCCACGGUGAAUACGUUCCCGGGCCUUGUACACACCGCCCGUCACACCAUGGGAGUGGGUUGCAAAAGAAGUAGUAGCU